rnacentral:tRNA from 1 species
UGGGUUCAAGAUCCUCUAUCCCCA